rnacentral:rRNA from 1 species
UACGUAGGGUGCGAGCGUUGUCCGGAAUUAUUGGGCGUAAAGAGCUCGUAGGCGGUGUGUCACGUCGUUCGUGAAAACCUGCAGCUUAACUGUGGGCGUGCGGUCGAUACGGGCAUCACUGGAGUUCGGCAGGGGAGACUGGAAUUCCUGGUGUAGCGGUGAAAUGCGCAGAUAUCAGGAGGAACACCGGUGGCGAAGGCGGGUCUCUGGGCCGACACUGACGCUGAGGAGCGAAAGCCAGGGGAGCAAACGGG